ensembl:lncRNA
AUCAGGAGGCUCCGAGGUGCGACGUGAACGUGACUUCCUUCCUGCUUCCUGGUGCUUUGCGGACAAGGGCGGUGAUGGGAGAGGAAGGGACGAGCCCAGGCCGGGGUUUCCACGGCUGGCAGCCCGGCUCCCUGCCGCCCGCCCGCUUCUGGGCUUCUUGGCUGGGGCUGCUCCUGACAGAAGGGAUGCGUGUUGUCGGGGGCGGGGGGCGGCGUGUGUGCGUGUGCGUGUGCGAGAGUAUGUGUGUGCGCUUAAAAUACAAAAAAAAGAAGGCUGGCUACACUCAGCUGCGAGAGGCUGGCCGGGCUCCGUCCGUGCCAAUUCCCUCCGAGCUGGCACCGUGGGGACCGGGAGGGGGGAGAGGUGAGGGAAGAUGGACGCUUGCCACGGACGAGCGGCAGGGCUGGGCGCCUCCCGGGUGCCAGCGGGCGCACGGGGCCAAAACUCACAAACAAAAACCGCAGCAGAUCGCUGGCAGCCCGUCCUGGGGAGGCGGCAGCCACUUGGCAGAGGAGCCAUGGAGGACCCGGCUGGGAGUAGGCGGCCGGCGCACAGGAACCAUCUGUGUGCAGAGGCAGCCCUCACAAUCUGCUCCCCAGUCCCGCCCAGCACUGAGACUCCUGGACAAUGCCUCCCUGGGGUGUCCUCAAGGCUGGCCGCUCUCUCAGUCGCCUCGGUGUCUGCUUCCUGGAGGAGCGGCCCUCACCAUGGAGAGCUGGUGGCCUCAAACAGCCUCAGAACCUUUCCUGACACAGAUUUCGGGCAGGCACGAUGAACUGACUGGCCUGGAAGAUGACUCUUGUUUGCCAUCCUGAAUUCCAAGGGCGCCGUCCGGCCAAGAUGCUGAAGUGUAACGUCCUAUUGACUCUGUCCAUCGUCCUCACGACACUGUGGGUACAUUGUGGGUUCCGGACUGCCUCUUCAACUCUGCAUUUUCCUGACACACAGGAAUGGGCCCCAGGAAAUGCUGGUGGAGAGAAAUGAAUGACUAACUGUUUAUAAUUCUAAGUCCUUUCGCUUCUGAGCCUGGACAGGACAAUGGCUGGGGUCCUAGGACCCACAUCUGCUCCUGAUGCAAGCAAAGUGUUGGAUCCCAUCAGGAGCUCCAGCCUCACACUCACGUUUUAGGAAACUCCCGGAUGGAGCACGCAAUGUGAGCCCCAGUUAACCACCACAGUGCAUCUCCUUGGCCACAUUUAGGCUCAGGGGUAGGCCCACAACACCGUCAGAGCAAAUGAGAUGCAACAAGGUUUCCCCACCCAUUGGGAAUUCUUGGAGGUGGCCCCUCGCUCGUUCCCCAGGGUGGACACUGGGAGGAUUGUAGGGGUCAAGUUCAGCAUCUUGCAACCACAAGAGGCCUGAGAAUGGAACCAACAUUAGGAUCUUGGUGUUGGAGAAGUUAAAGAGAGAAACCAAGUCCUGGAUUAACCUGUUCCUGAAGCUUGAUCAAUCCCAUGGUCACCCCAGUAUAUGAGUCAAUAAAUUUGCUUUUUGGUUUAAGACCGUUUUGGGUGGAUUUUCCAUCCUUCACAAAAGAGGAAAUCUGUUAGAGAGCCCAGCCCCCCUGCAUCUAGGAUGUGGGAAGGCUCAGUCCAUUCUGAGUGCCCUGCCCCUUCUGCAGACAAUGCAAGAGAAAGGACUGAACGCAGUUGGUGGCAGCGAGGGGUCAGCCACUGCCCGGCUCGUCGGCCCUCAGAUCUGUCCUUAUUGGACUCAGGAGGAGCGGGCAGAAGGCUGCAAACACAAACUGAGGAGCAGGAGGAGGCUGAGCUCCACUCACUGUGACGGGGCCAUGGGCUGACACAGAGGCAGUGACCUCCCUCCCGUGGCCGAGGCUGUGGGCUCAGCAGGCACAGGGGACUCAGCGGGCAUGGGGAGGCCAGGCCUGGUGUCGGCCCCACAAGGGCCACAGUUGACCACACAGGUUGGCGGUUCCUACCCUCAGGACCAUUAGCCAAGACAUCAAGGAAAAUGUUCCAGCUGGGUGCUCACAGACAGGCAGAGGCCAGCUCUGACCCAAGAGGAGCUGACCUCAAACCACAAGUGGCCCUCCAGGCCUCGGCCCCCUGUCACCUCCCUCGCUGUGGUGGCUUUGUCCCGAGUCAGCCGGCCAGGCUGGCCUGCAUUUCCCGGAAUCCCU